rnacentral:rRNA from 1 species
GAUGAACGCUGGCGGCGUGCCUAAUACAUGCAAGUCGAGCGAACGGACGAGAAGCUUGCUUCUCUGAUGUUAGCGGCGGACGGGUGAGUAACACGUGGAUAACCUACCUAUAAGACUGGGAUAACUUCGGGAAACCGGAGCUAAUACCGGAUAAUAUUUUGAACCGCAUGGUUCAAAAGUGAAAGACGGUCUUGCUGUCACUUAUAGAUGGAUCCGCGCUGCAUUAGCUAGUUGGUAAGGUAACGGCUUACCAAGGCAACGAUGCAUAGCCGACCUGAGAGGGUGAUAGGCCACACUGGAACUGAGACACGGUCCAGACUCCUACGGGAGGCAGCAGUAGGGAAUCGUCCGCAAUGGGCGAAAGCCUGACGGAGCAACGCCGCGUGAGUGAUGAAGGUCUUCGGAUCGUAAAACUCUGUUAUUAGGGAAGAACAUAUGUGUAAGUAACUGUACACAUCUUGACGGUACCUAAUCAGAAAGCCACGGCUAACUACGUG